rnacentral:rRNA from 1 species
AUGGAUAUUUACAAAAAACACCCCGAAUCGUUUCAGAUCUCCAUUCCCAAGUCCUUGCCUCUUCUUCUCCUUCUCUUCCGAUCUCUCUCACAGCGACUUGGGGGCGGCAACGCCAUGGUCGGGAGCUGGAGCGCGUCUGCGAGCUCUUCCUGGCCGCCUUCCUCUGACCCUGAGGCUGGUGCAUCUCUCCCUCUACUUAAGUGCUGCACGUGCGGCUGGAGGCAAGUGAUUCGUCUGGUUUCCAAAUCUGAGAGGAAUCCAGGAAGGGUUUUCUUCGAAUGCCCUAAUCACAAGAGAGGGUCACAUGGAUCUUGUGACUGCUAUCACUGCAUAGAUGAAUAUUUGGAUCUUGUUUUGUGCCAUGGUUAUAAUAUUGCUGAAGAGGAGGUGGGGUACAUUGCAAUUAUUUCCAAGCCCUAUCUGGACAGGGAGAUGACAAAGAUAGUUUCAUAG